rnacentral:rRNA from 1 species
GACGAACGCUGGCGGCGUGCCUAACACAUGCAAGUCGAACGAGUGGCGGACGGGUGAUUAACACGUGGGAACCUACCCAUCAGAGGGGGAUAACACUUGGAAACAGGCGCUAAUACCGCAUACUGAUGGAUGGAGCCGCGGUGCAUUAGCUAGUUGGUGGGGUAACGGCUCACCUAGGCUACGAUGCAUAGCCGGGCUGAGAGGAUGACCAGCCACACUGGGACUGAGACACGGUCCAGACUCCUACGGGAGGCAGCAGUGGGGAAUAUUGCACAAUGGGCGCAAGCCUGAUGCAGCCAUGCCGCGUGUAUGAAGAAGGCCUUAGGGUUGUAAAGUACUUUCAGCGAGGAGGCGUUACUCGCAGAAGAAGCACCGGCUAACUCCGUGCCAGCAGCCGCGGUAAUAC